rnacentral:hammerhead_ribozyme from 1 species
AUCCAGCCGACGAGUCCGAAAUAGGACAAAACGCGCAUCCUUGAU